CCUCAUCCUCGCGAAAUUUUUCCAUUGCCUCCUCCCCGAGCUCAUAAAACUUUAUCUCUUCAGAAAACAUAUCCAAAGUUAUGCAGUACACAGUACUGUAUGUAUUGGCAGACUUCCCACCUUAAGAUCUCAGAAGCUACGCGAGGCUGGGCCUGGUCAGUUCUGGGAUAGGAGACCUCAGAGAAACACCAGGCUGCUGCUAGAUUGUGAUCAGGAUACUCACAGUUGCCAGCAGCAGUAAACACUGGUGACACAAGAAGCAAAAUGGACAGGAAUUUGGACCAGUAGGGCAAUAAGAGCAAAAUGCUGAUUUGUUCUUUUAGUGUGGUGUUUAAAAGAUAAA